UACGAAGGGUGCAAAUAAAUAUUUUUGGUUAAUGGUUUAAUUAAUAAUUAUAGAAUGUAAAAUUGUAUUUUUUGGGUGGAAUCUUUAAAUUUAUAUUAAUUUCUUUAUAGUGUUAUUGAAGCUUUGAAAUUCAAAAUUAUAAACUA
rnacentral:rRNA from 1 species